AACGUAAUUUAUAUAAAAAUAAAUAGUGAUAUUUUUUCGAUAAUUAGCCAUUUAGCCUACAAUAAGUCAAUUAGUCAAACCCUCGUUGUUUCCCUCCUCCUUUAACCCUGUUCAACCAAACUGCCUCAACUUCUUGGAGGCCUAUACACACGAUCAACACGUUACAGAAACCAUUAUCAACAUCAACACCAUUGUAAUCGCCACCAAUAUCCUCUUCUUCCCGCUACGCUUUACAGUUUUCUGUUUUCUUACUUUUUCAUGUACAGCUUUUAACUUUCUUUCUUGAUGUUUUAAACACUAAUGAAUUUCUUGUAUGAUGUAUCACUCGUAUUUUCAUUAAAUCAAGACUAAUUUCUUCCAGUUUACCAUCUUAGUGUCCUCCUCUUUGAGAAUUGCUGAUGAAUAUUGGUGGGUGCUGAUGGGUUUGAAUGCUAAUCAAGAACAUGUUGGGGGUAAAACCCCAUUAUGGAUUCCUGCUGGCGACAGCACGAUUUCGAGGUUAAAGCACCUUGAUAUUCAUGCCGAUGAUGCCGAAUCUCAAACCGCUCUUGGGUGAGAACUUUAAUCUAACUCCAAUUUGCCGAUAAUUUCUCACUUUGAAUUAGAUGUGGGUUACUUUUCUACUUCAAAUUGCUAGAACAAUCUGCCAAUUUUAUCGAAUUGUUUGUUGGAAUGAUGCACUAAAUGUUCUAACGGCUAUGGAUAUUAUUUCUAAAGAUAAAAAGGAAAUACAUUGGAAGGGUAUGCCUCACACUACCCCUAACCAUAUUCAAGAGCUAAAGAGUGAGAGACUUGCUAUACAAAACAGAUUUGAGAUGAAAUCAGCAUAUUUACAAGAAUUGGAGGAUCAAGUGAGAAUGAUUGUAGUCACUCUCAAUAUUUCUUUUACAAAUUUGUGUCAGGAAUGAGGACUGAGUUCCUUUGUGCACUAACUUUCCCUUUUUACCCUCACAAAGUAUGUAGCUGUAAAGAAUCUGAUACAACACAAUCAUGAGAUUACGGUUUUGCCCCUUUGUAGACUCCCUCUCAUGCGGAAGUCGAGAUUGAAAUGUCGGAAAAUACUCACCCGUCCCUUUUGACGUCAAUGGCACUCCGUUUGAACUACAUUAUGACAAUUAUGCACUCAAGGAAAUGAAGUUAUGCGGUCGAUCAAAAAGAGGUGAUGACAUUGCAAAGGGUGGGUCUGUGGAUGAUAUGGCAAUCAGUGGGUCACCAUACCAUCCAAUCCCCCCACAUUUGUAAGAUGGCUCUAUUCACCCAUGUUUUGAAAACCGGACCAGACCGGCCGGUUCGACCGGUUAAACCGUGAACCGGUCCCAGAUCCGGUUCUUAAAGGCUAAAAAACCGGUAUUCAUGUGAACCGGUCAAAACUGGAAAUUUUCAAAAAUAUUUAUUUUUUACAUUUUUUGUAUUUUUUAUAUAAUUAAAAAUAAUUAUGACAUCAUCCGGUUUUUGAGACCGGUCCGACCGGUUGGAACACCUGAACCAUCGAACCAGUAAGACGAACGGUUCGGUCAAGGCCGGCCUUAUGUACAUUUGAGUAAGGGUAGGGCUUAGGGCCCCAAUUUUUAAGGGGCCCCACUUAAUUUUCCACACGUUUAUUCUUCUGUAUCGAUCACGCAUCUGACUCCUCAAAAAUCAAAAGUAUUGAUCAACUACAACCGACGAUUACUCUUCCUAUUCUUCUUCUUCUCUACGAUUACACUUCUGUUCUUCUUCUUCUCCAUUCUCGAACUCUGAUUCUCGGUUCUAGCUUUCUAGGAAUCUCUGAUCUCGAUUCUAGGCAUCAUCGAUCUUGAUUCUUCCACACGGAUAAGCGCUGAAAAUACCUUAUGUACUUCGGUUCUUAUUCUUCCUUCUUCAUUCUCGGUUUCUUCAUAGACUCCAUUGUUCAAAAUCAUUGAUGAUUUAACUAUUCAAGGUUGUCACUGGACACUGAAACGGUAAUGUGUUUGUGUUUUCACUUUUCACUUUUGAUUUUUUCAUUAUUUAGGGUUAAUAGCUGAUUAGGGUUAAUCUUUUCAAUUAUAUUUUUAAUUCUAGAUUUCAUUGUUAACUGCUGGUUGAUUACUAUUGAUGUGAAUCAAGUUGGAAUGAAAUUUUCAGUUUUCUAGAUUUGAGCUUUAUAUUAUGUGAGGGGUGGUAUAAUCCUAAUCUAUAUCUUCUACACAUAUUUUCUACACUUAUACCACUUGUCUUGGUGAUUAUUUAUUGCAUCUAAAAAAAGCUAGAAAAAUUAAUUUUAUGUCUUAAAUUUAUUCAUAAAGAAUAUAUAUGUAUUAGAAAAAUUUAACUCCGUCAUUUAUAAACUUUUUAGUUUAUUAUUGCAGGUCCUGGAUAAAGGAGGAGGGUUUAUAACAUUGAGUAUAGUAAAUGCUAAAGGGCCCCAAAUUUUUUGUUCGCUUAGAACCCCCAAACUGGUUGAGCCGGCCCUGGGUUCGGUCUCCGGUCCGGUUUUCAAAACCUUGCUAUUCACUUGUGGGAGUAGUUUUUAUUUAGUUUUAGUCUUUUUUUUAACUUUCAACCAUGUUGAAGCAUGUCAUUACGUAUUGUGGU